GACGAACGCUGGCGGCGUGCUUAACACAUGCAAGUCGAACGGAAAGGCCCCUUUGGGGGUACUCGAGUGGCGAACGGGUGAGUAACACGUGAGUAACCUGCCCUUGACUUCGGGAUAACUUCAGGAAACUGGGGCUAAUACCGGAUAGGAAUCCUUGCUGCAUGGUGGGGGUUGGAAAGCUUCGGCGGUUUUGGAUGGACUCGCGGCUUAUCAGCUUGUUGGUGGGGUAGUGGCUUACCAAGGCUUUGACGGGUAGCCGGCCUGAGAGGGGGACCGGCCACAAUGGGACUGAGAUACGGCCCAGACUCCUACGGGAGGCAACAGGGGGGAAUAUUGCACAAUGGGCGGAAGCCUGAUGCAGCAACGGCGCGUGCGGGAUGACGGGCUUCGGGUUGUAAACCGCUUUCAGCAGGGGCGAAGCUUGUGGUGACGGUACCUGCAGAAGAAGCACCGGCUAACUACGUG
rnacentral:rRNA from 1 species